rnacentral:piRNA from 1 species
UAUGAGUGUGCCUAUUAUCAACNCCAAAAA